rnacentral:rRNA from 1 species
GAUGAACGCUAGCUACAGGCUUAACACAUGCAAGUCGCAGGGUAACAUGAGGAAAGCUUGCUUUCCUUGAUGACGACUGGCGCACGGGUGAGUAACGCGUAUCCAACCUUCCCAUAACUACGGGAUAACCCGUUGAAAGACGGCCUAAUACCGUAUGAUAUCGUUUGCUGACAUCAAAUAACGAUUAAAGGUUUAGCGGUUAUGGAUGGGGAUGCGUCUGAUUAGCUUGUUGGCGGGGUAACGGCCCACCAAGGCGACGAUCAGUAGGGGUUCUGAGAGGAAGGUCCCCCACAUUGGAACUGAGACACGGUCCAAACUCCUACGGGAGGCAGCAGUGAGGAAUAGUGGUCAAUGGGCGAGAGCCUGAACCAGCCAAGUAGCGUGCAGGACGACGGCCCUAUGGGUUGUAAACUGCUUUUAUGUGGGGAUAAAGUGCGUGACGUGUCAUGCAUUGCAGGUACCACAUGAAUAAGGACCGGCUAAUUCCGUG